GUCUACGGCCAUGCCACCCUGAGCAAGCCCGAUCCCGUCUGAUCUUGAAAGCUAAGUAGGAUUGGGCCUGAUUAGUACUUGGAUGGGAGACCACCUAGGAAGACUGGGUGCUAUAGGCU
ensembl:rRNA 5S_rRNA 5S ribosomal RNA